rnacentral:rRNA from 1 species
UACGUAGGUGACCAGCGUUGUCCGGAUUUACUGGGCGUAAAGCGCGCGCAGGCGGCACACUAAGUACGAUGUGAAAUCUCCCUGCUCAACGGGGAGGGUGCAUAGUAAACUGGUGAGCUAGAGGACGGUAGAGGGGGGUGGAAUUGCUGGUGUAGCGGUGAAAUGCGUAGAUAUCUGGAGGAACACCGGUGGCGAAGGCGGCAUCCUGGACCGACAUUGACGCUGAGGCGCGAAAGCCAGGGGAGCAAACGGG